CCCUAUACGAUUACUAAGUUAGUUUGCCUCUGCCUCCUUUUUUCCAUUUCUUUCUUGGUGCCGCCGCUGCUCUUUCCUCUCUCUCAAGUUCUCAAGUCUCAACGUUGCAGAGCACUAGUCCUCCAGCCUCCCUUCUCUUCAGUUCAACGCCUCUCUCCACGCUCUUCUCUCUCGUCUCCGGUAGCAAAAGUACAGGACUCCGUCUUCGACAGCAACGCGACGUCGACUUUGGCAACAACAAACAUAUAAUUACAUAUGGAAAUUGAAGAUAAAAAUGUGGAUGAUUUUGUAAACGAAUGGAUUAAAUAUGUAGAGAUUGAAAAAGGGGCUGCUCAAAUCGAACGACCGCAAAAAAGGAAAAGGAAAGGGAAAAAAACAUCAACUAUUUGGGAACAUUUUACUAUUGUUAAGAAAAAAGUAAAAGGUAAAAAAGAUAAAGAAGAAAAAGAAGAGGAUAUAGCAGAGUGCAACUAUUGUGGAGCUGAUAGUAAGUAUUGUGGGACUAGUACAUUGUGGAGUCAUGUUGAUAAAAAGUGCAGGAAGUGUCCAUCUAGUAAUUGGGUAGAGCAGAAUAAGAAACAAACGAUGAUAAUCAAUUUACAAAGAAGACACCUGAUUCUGAAGUUAACUUAAGUGGGACUACCACAAUGAAGUUUAGUCAGAGUAAAGUGAGAGAAUUGAUUAGCAAGUAUUUCAUUAUUGAUGAACUUCCUUUUAGGCAUAUUGAAGGGAAAGGGUUUCGCUUGCUUGUUAAUCAUUUUUUUCCAAAAUUUUACUUUCCUUCAAGAUUUACAAUUGCUCGUGAUAUCUACCAAUUGUUUUUGGAGGAAAAGAAAAAAUUGAGAAAUGAAUUUGUCAAUCGUAGGUUGUCUUUAACUACUGAUUGUUGGACUUCCAUACAGAAUAUUAGUUAUAUGUGCCUGACUGCUCAUUGGAUUGAUGACAAUUGGAAGAUGCAAAAAAUUAUUAUUAGUUUCAUUCAGGUUCCUAGCCAUAAAGGUGACAUGGUUGCAAAAGAAUUGAUCAGUUGCCUCAAUCAUUGGGGGAUUACUCAACUUUUCUCCAUCACUGUUGACACACUACAACAAAAAAGGCCAUUUGCGUCAGUUUAGCACUGCCACAGUUGAGUUUUUGCGUCAGUGUACUAUGUGACGCAAUUGUCCAUGACGCAAACCAGAGUGUCAUUUGCGUCAGUACCCCACUGCCACAAAUGUUAAAAACAAGUAUUUUUUGCGUCAGUUGGGCACUGUCACAUAAAGUAUUAACCAGGGAAGUUGCAAAUGUUUAUGCCAAUUUCUCUGGCCUGUUUUGAUAAAAAUAAUCAGCAGCAGAAACAAAAAAAAACAGCAGCAGAAACAGAAAAACAGUAGUAUGAACAUAAAAACAACAGUAUAAGUUUUUAUAAACAUUUAUCUAGAGUUAACAUUUGUGAUCAAAACUAUAAAAGUAAUUCAAAUAUCAAAGUUAAUAUAUGUACUCUUGUGUUCUAAA